AUUGAACGCUGGCGGCAUGCCUUACACAUGCAAGUCGAACGGCAGCACGGGAGCAAUCCUGGUGGCGAGUGGCGAACGGGUGAGUAAUAUAUCGGAACGUGCCCAGUCGUGGGGGAUAACGCAGCGAAAGCUGUGCUAAUACCGCAUACGAUCUCUGGAUGAAAGCGGGGGACCUGCAAGGGCCUCGCGCGAUUGGAGCGGCCGAUAUCAGAUUAGCUAGUUGGUGGGGUAAAAGCUCACCAAGGCGACGAUCUGUAGCUGGUCUGAGAGGACGACCAGCCACACUGGAACUGAGACACGGUCCAGACUCCUACGGGAGGCAGCAGUGGGGAAUUUUGGACAAUGGGCGCAAGCCUGAUCCAGCAAUGCCGCGUGCAGGAUGAAGGCCUUCGGGUUGUAAACUGCUUUUGUACGGAACGAAACGGUUCUCUUUAAUAAA
rnacentral:rRNA from 1 species